GCGUGCGUUUGUGUGUGCGCUCCCAGGCCAGUGGGACAGUGACUGAGUGUGUGUGCAUGUGUGUGUGUGUGUGCGUGCUCCCAGGCCAGUGGGACAGUGACUGAGUGUGUGUGUGUGUGUGUGUGCGUGUGCGCGCGCGCUCACUGAUGGAAAUGGCACAGAGAAGGCCCUGAGCAAGGUGGAGACGCCCCCGCUGCCCAGCAGGCCGAGACCCUCUGCUCUCUGCUGCUCUAUGUGCAGUGAAGGGCCUGGACUCGCAGCGCACUGGCCUCGCCUGGCGGGGAUCACGAAGGCCUCAUCUCCGCUCCUUGUUAAAGGGCAGGUUUCAAUUUGGCACAUUUGAGUGGGGAGGGGGUGGAUUCUUGCCGAAUUGAAAGCUGCCCUUGAAAAAGAGCCCAGGUGAUACGAGUGUACCUUAAAGCCCAGGAAGGGCUGCCUACCCCUUCUCCACCUCUCCCUCUUCCUGAGCCCGUGACACCAAGACGCCAAGUGCUGCCAAAAGGCACCCGUGGGCCAGGAACUAGAGGCGCUGCGAUGAAUCUGAUGAAUCCGUGGGAGGAGAUGGAGAAAAGAGAACCCAGCUCAGACCCUGGUGCCAUCUCUGCAGGGGAGAGGGGGGUCCUCGCCCCAGGGAGGGCAGGAUCCUCUUUGUCCUAAAGAGCAGAGAGAGCAUCUUACACCAGAAGGCACGUCAUAAAAAUACUGAUAAAGAGGAUCAACGUGGGAGAAGACAGAGACAGAAAACGGAGUCCACAGAGACAAAGAAAAUACAUGUUUCCCAUCACAAGGGGCUACAUAAUGACCAUGGCUGAGUUUCAGAGCUGGCUCUGAGAUUCCUGGCAGUUGAAGGAAAAAGGGAAAUGUGAUCUAUUAUGCAAUUCUCAUCGUUAGAAACGAGGAGGUUUUCUUGAGCCUCACGGAAAACAGCCUGUCCUGGGACUGUGUUCUGAAGGGGCUUCCUCCCUGGAGCCCCACAGGGGUAGUGGGUGAUGUGAUGGGUCCCACCUGCAGCGAGUGAAUUCCUGGGGGCUGUUUCUGCAUUGGUCUUUGCGAAAGCAAAGGCUCAGUAUCUACUACAAAUCCAGUGAUGGGGUCCAGUGAGAGUUCUGGAUGACACAGUCACAGACCAUGGCCCUGGCCUGACACCAGGAAUGAACUUCUGGGUCCCUAGAGUGCUGAGCGUGCCUCAGAAGCUCCCCCAUCCCCAGAAUUUCCAAAAACAUUUUUAUUGAUGUAUCCCAUGCCUACAUCAUCUAAUGGACAUCAGAUGAGUUCCUUCCUCCUGGAGGAUUCUGUGAGGCCAGAGUGAUGCCAGGUGUGCGUGAGGAGACGGCGUGGGACGGAGACGCUGUGAUGAAGAUGGGCGUUUGGGGGGUCCGUGGGCCUCCAGCCUCUCUCCCCACUUCCUUCCAAGGCUACUCGGGUCCCCGGGGGCCCCCGGCCUCAGUGUCCAGGACACUUCCCGUGCACCCUCUGGCCCGAGCAGAGCCCAGCUUGAAUCUGUCGCUUUGACUUGGGGGAAGCACCGCCCUGCCCUGGCCGGGCUUCAGGGGCCAAAUAUUUCAAUUAUGAGGACGCGGUCAGGCCCUGCCCACUCCAGCCUCAGUGACGGCGGCGAGGAGAGGAUGUCCCCGGCGGGAGCGGUGGGCGGCGUGCGGGGGGAGCCGCAGACAGGAGAGGGGAUGAGAGGCUGAGCAGACAGGCCCUCUCCGCUGGCUGAGAACAAAACCGCUGGCUGGGAGGAAAAUAUGUGUGAGGCAUUCUUGCAAUUCCAAGAGGCUCCGUCCAGCUCCUGCCCAGACGGUCAAUGAAUCAAAGCCCGGGGGGCCCUACCUGUCAGCAGGUUUUCUCCGGCCCCACCGCUCACCGGGCCCCACCUCUCCAGCCCCACAAGGCCAGCUGGAACACUCCCAGUUCCCCAGGAGGACGGCUCUUCAAAAAGUGACUCACCGGCCAAGAGCAGAUGCGGGCAGCCCUCCAUCUCCACCUGCUCUGCUCCCCCUCCACCGCCUUGGAGAGGGGGCAUCACCCGCUGCAGGGGUUUAACGGUGCCCCCCCCACCCCCGGGAACACACACGUCCACGUCGGAAUCCCUGGAACCUGGGCAGUCGUGUCCGUAUUUGGGAAAAGAAUCUUCGCGGGUGUCACUGAGUUAGGGAUAUCUCAAGGUGAGCUCAUCUCGGGAGUUUUCAAGUGAGCCCGCAGAGCAAGGACAAGCGUCCUUAUAAGAGACAUACAGAGGACAGGAGAGGAGACCCAGGCGAAGGCAGAUGCAGCCACACGCCAAGGAAUGCCUGGGGCCACCAGAAGCUGGAGGAGGCGGGGCGGAUCCUUCGCUGGAGCCUCGAGAGGGAGCUCAGGCUUGCCAACCCCUUGAUUUAGGACUUCCAGCCUCCAGAACUGUGAGAGAGGAAACUGUUCAAGCCACCCAGUCUGUGGGAAUGUUACAGCCGCCCCGGCACACUCACACACCCGUCUACCCCCUCGAAGGAGCCCUGCGUUUUCAUGCUGCAAAUCACGCUGCCAGCCCUCCCGACUUCACCUUCUCUGCUGACCUCCCCAACGAGGCUGCCUCCCUUCCUCUGGCCACGUGGCGUGGUGGUCCGCUAAAGGUCCCAUCUGAUCACCGCACGACACCUUUGCUCUGGCUCUUGCCUUUGUUGAGAACGCCCUUCCUCCUCUGCUACGUGGGAAAUUCUGGUCCUCCAAGGCCCAGCUCAAAUGUCACCUCUUCCAUGAAGUCUUCCUUGACUCCUUCACUUUGACCAUCCUAAGUCCAUUUUAGCUCCAAUCGUAUAUUCACACAGGGCUCUAGAAUUCGCCAAACUCUUCCUUUACAUGACCAUGUUUCACAAGGAUAAUGAUACCUACUGUUGGUUGUGUACCUACUAUGCACAGAGCAUGCAGUAGGCACUUUACAUGGAUAAUAAAAAUAAUAGGCCCGUGCUGGGCACUUAACCACGUUACACUAUGUAAAGUGAGACCAGCCUCGUCCACAGCUCUUGGGAGCUAAGAAAUACAGAAUCUUGGAACUUCCCUGGCGGCCCAGUGGUUGAGACUCCGCACUCCCAAUGCAGGCGGCCCAGGAUCGAUCCCUGGUCAGGGAACUAGAUCCCACACAUCGCAACUAGGGAUGCUGCGUGCCACAAGGAAGACCCCGCGCAGCCAAAUGAACAACAGCCACACGGAGUCGUGGCCCCACCUUGGACAAGCCCGCUGGAAGCUGCAUUUCCGUGCAGGUCUCCGAGGAUCCCAUUCGCUGGAGUCUGAGAAGGGCUGACCUGCAGCGCCCAGCACAGGCCAGGACUCUGACACCCUGGGUUUGAAUCCUGGCUCAGCCCUUUCCAGCGGGGGGAGCUCGGGCAAGUUUCUGCCAUCUGCUGGGCCUCACUUUCCUCCUCUGUCUCGUGACUCUCCGAUAGCCUUUUCAAGAAAUAGAGGCCGUAAUGCUCGGCGCACAGGGUGGGCCAGUCAGGUAGCGUCUGAUUAUCCGAGUCCUAGCUGCCUCCUCCUACCCUGACCACAGGGACUAUCUGUUCUGGAUUGAUUUCCAGACCUUCUGAAAGCCUCCCGCCACGGUGACCCUCCUGAGGGAAACCUCGGCUAUCCUGGAGGCUGCAGAGGUGGUACUGGGGUGCAAGGGGGGCCUUUUCAUCUUCCCCCUCCUACCCCUGGCCCGGGCUGGGGACCCCAGGACCCCCCACUCAGUUCAGCCUGCUGCAUCCUCUAGUCACCACCCCUCCCCUGAGGGACCCCCCCCUCCCCUGGGGAGGUCCCGCCUCCUAGCAGCAGUGAACCCCCAGGGAAGCACUGGAGGAGGGGGGUGGGGGCUGGGCAUGAGGUCAGCCCCCACGUCAGCCCCUCUCACUUUCCCUGGAAGAGGCCGCUGAGUGAGUGCCAGCCCUGGCGGAGGUCUGUCCCUGCUCCAGGGCCAGACCACAGGCAGCCACGCUGGGCCACUGCCAGGCCUGGGGGAGGCAUUCUCAGCCCCCCAGCUCCUCUCCGUCUCGCCCUGAGGACCCCUCCCCGACCCCAGAUCCAAGCAACCAACGAGGCCUCUUCCAAGCAGGUGAGGUCAUUCUCUCCACCAGACCAGCCCGAGGCAGAGAAGCACCACCCACGUGGCAGGGUUCCCACACCCCCCAUCCUGGAGUCCCCCAUCCAGGCCUCCUCUCCCGGCAGCCCUGGGCCCCCGACUCCCUCCACUCCCCGCCCUCCGAGGGGCCUGCAGGAGCGGCCCCCAAACACCUGUUGGAGGCAUGGACCUGGGUGGGCUGAGUGGAAACACAGGACAGACCCCCUUCCAGACUACCUUUCAGCAUCUGAGUGGGUCCAUGCGGACAGGCCCAGAGUGGGCCUUUGAACAAGCUUAGGAUGCUCGGGGCGCAGACAGGGCCCAGAGCCUCCAGCUCCAGGCAUUAUUUGCUGCCUCCAGAACCCGGCCUGCAUUGGCUGGGCUGAUUCUGUGCCCACAGCUUGGCCAAAAUAAAGUCUUUCUCCUGAUUUUUAAGGUUUCCCCAUCACACUGGUCGAGAUAGCCAGAAUGUUUCUGCCAAAGGCCUGGGGAGGUUCGUGGGCCUUGAGGAUGGGUGAGCACAGGGAACCUCAGGAGACUUUCGAGGAGUUCAAAUCUCAGAGUUGGAGCUUCCCAGGUGGCGCUAGUGGUAAAGAAUCCGCCUGCUGACGCAAGAGAUGCAAGAGACGUGGGUUCGAUCCCUGGGUCAGAAAGAUCCUCCGGGGGAGGAAAUGGCAACGUACUCCAGUAUUCUUGCCUGGAGAAUCCCACGGACAGAGGAGCCUGGCAGACUACAGUCCAUGGGAUCACAGAGUCUGACACGAUUACUGAAGCGACUGAACACGCACGCACGUAUCUCAGAGUUAGUCAAGACCAGUAGUUCUCAGCUGGGAUGAUUUCAUCCCAACCCUCCCCUCCCCACGGCCCCAGGACGUUCGGCAACACCUGGAGACAUUGCUGGUUGUCACACAGAGCUGGUGGGUGUGCCCCUUACUGGCAUCGAGAGAGUAGAGGCCAGGCUUGUGGCUAAACAUCCGAUAAACCACAGGAUGACCCCCCUUGCAGGACUCAUGGGCUGCAGGGUCAAACGCGCAGAGGCUCAGCCCAGUUCAAAACGACUCCAUCAAACAAACCCCUCGUCUCUCGGCAUCUAAUCUGCUCCUGGACAAGAUGCAGCCCCCCAAAAC
ensembl:lncRNA